AUGUCCCACGCGUACCCUCCGGUGCUGAGUGCACCGUCCACACCGACCUGACGACUGCUAGCCACGUUUGGUGAGCC
rnacentral:sRNA from 1 species